rnacentral:rRNA from 1 species
GAUGAACGCUAGCUACAGGCUUAACACAUGCCAGUCGAGGGGAAACGGCAUCGAAAGCUUGCUUUUGAUGGGCGUCGACCGGCGCACGGGUGAGUAACGCGUAUCCAACCUGCCCAUCACUUGGGAAUAACCUUGCGAAAGUAAGACUAAUGCCCAAUGACAUCCCACGAAGGCAUCCGAAUGGGAUUAAAGAUUUAUCGGUGAUGGAUGGGGAUGCGUCUGAUUAGCUUGUUGGCGGGGUGACGGCCCACCAAGGCAACGAUCAGUAGGGGUUCUGAGAGGAAGGUCCCCCACAUUGGAACUGAGACACGGUCCAAACUCCUACGGGAGGCAGCAGUGAGGAAUAUUGGUCAAUGGGCGAGAGCCUGAACCAGCCAAGUAGCGUGCAGGAUGACGGCCCUAUGGGUUGUAAACUGCUUUUAUAAGGGAAUAAAGUGGGUCACGUGUGACUUUUUGCAUGUACCUUAUGAAUAAGGACCGGCUAAUUCCGUG